GAGAGAGUUGGUGAUGGAGGCUACAGCUGCCACCAACACCACACACGCUCCAAUGUACUCCUGCAGAAAGAGACAAUGAGAACUUUACAGCAGGGAGAUCAUUCUAAAAGGAUCCCAACAGAGGGAGCCAGCAAUGUUAACCAAAAAAAAUGUGAACCAGCUGUUGUCUGACAAACAGUAAACAGGACUGAUCUGCAUGUUAAAGCACUGAACAGGGGAUGGAUCAUUACCAUGCGGACCUCCAGCCAACGGUUGGCUGCUGUGAGAAAGAGAGAGGCGAUGUUGUUGGCGUCAGUGUACUGCAGUAACCUCUGUCUGAACCUGGGCUCAUACCUGCCGAUGGAAAAAGACACGUCUCAUUUGUGCUCUUAUGUCCUGAGAGUCCACCAACUUGUUACUGCUAUUUUCACUCGAGCAGUUUCUGGAUGGCUCUGUUAAUUUGCACAUUUUUGGCUAUUUUAUUUUGUUUCUACGUAAAGCACUCUGAACUGUGUUUGUAUGAUUUGGUGCUAUACAAAUACAUUUGAAUUAAAUGAAAUGUUGCAGCGUGAA